AUUGAACGCUGGCGGCAUGCCUUACACAUGCAAGUCGAACGGUAACAGGUCUUCGGAUGCUGACGAGUGGCGAACGGGUGAGUAAUACAUCGGAACGUGCCUAGUAGUGGGGGAUAACUACUCGAAAGAGUGGCUAAUACCGCAUGAGAUCUACGGAUGAAAGCAGGGGAUCGCAAGACCUUGUGCUACUAGAGCGGCCGAUGGCCGAUUAGGUAGUUGGUGGGAUAAAAGCUUACCAAGCCGACGAUCUGUAGCUGGUCAGAGAGGACGAUCAGCCACACUGGGACUGAGACACGGCCCAGACUCCUACGGGAGGCAGCAGUGGGGAAGUUUGGACAAUGGGAGAAAGCCUGAUCCAGCAAUGCCGCGUGCAGGAUGAAGGCCUUCGGGUUGUAAACUGCUUUUGUACGGAACGAAAAGCCCCGGGUUAAUACCCUGGGGUCAUGACGGUACCGUAAGAAUAAGCACCGGCUAACUACGUGCCAGCCGCCGCGGUAA
rnacentral:rRNA from 1 species